rnacentral:rRNA from 1 species
UACGAGGGGCCCAAACGUUAUUCGGAAUUACUGGGCUUAAAGAGUUCGUAGGCGGCGCGGAAAGUAGGGUGUGAAAGCCCUCGGCUCAACCGAGGAAUUGCGCUCUAAACUACCGUGCUUGAGGAAGCUAGAGGUGAGCGGAACUGAUGGUGGAGCGGUGAAAUGCGUUGAUAUCAUCAGGAACACCGGAGGCGAAGGCGGCUCACUGGGGCUUUUCUGACGCUGAGGAACGAAAGCCAGGGGAGCGAACGGG